GAUUUAUGAUCUGGCAACAGUGAUAAUCUGCGACCUGACAGCACAAUACUAAAGAUUACAACACUGUAUGUAUGCAACUGUGCUAAUGCAACUAAGAUGCAAAAAAGACCGGCAAACUGCAGCCAACUUAAUUUGUAUCCUUAUUCAAGAAUUUUGCGAACACGUGAAUGCACACAAUUGCAAAAUAUUAAAACCUUAUAAUAAAUAAAAUAAAGAGAUUACAACAAAUCAGGUGUGGGGUGCGACUGAUAAUAUAGUGAAAUGGAACUACGUCCAAGUCGCCAGACAAUGAUGGCCUCACUUGCCGACGCUGGGAUAGAAUUCCCAGAAACAGCCUCUAUAGGCCAGCUACGAGUGUUGCACGAUGCCAUGUACAACACAAAGCAGAACAAAUCUGAAUCUGAUGAAAUUGCUGUCAGAGACUAUAGUGUUGUGGAUAUGGACAACGUUGCAGCUGCCGAGGAUAAAACUGAUGCCGAAGAUGGUGAUGUCGGAUGGGAAACUGCUGCCGGCGCCCUAGUUCAAAUUAAGACUGCUGAAUCUAGUGCUAAUACGACCACCGCUGUCCUUGUGCCACCGAAUAUGCCCGAAGCUUAUGAAACAACCGCCGCUGUGAAUACCUACGCCAGAGAAGAUGGGACAGAUGUAGGUACAGAUGGUAUAGAUGCCGGCGACAAUGCCGAAGAACAUCCGAUGGUUACCUCUGCGGUCAACAUAAGGGUGGGAAAUUCGGAUUUCUCACAAAAAUUUUCCGGUAAUAAGUAUGCCGAAGAUCAAAGGGUGACGACUAAACCGUCGGAAAAUGCUGCCUUAGAAGAGGAAUUAAAUAACCUCAAAAUGAAGAUGGAAAUUCUUCAAUUACAGAGGCAGAUUAAUUUAUUAGAAGCCAGUUCUAACCGUAGUACACAACGGAUGGAUAUGGCUGAACUGGACGCUGCUGUACCACCAUUUAGCGGAGACGACCAUUAUGAUGUCGAGAAAUGGUUCGUCCAAUAUGAAGACUAUGUCGAUUCGUGUGGGUACACGGACAAAGAUAAAUGUGUGGGUGUACGCCGACGAUUAGAGGGAUCAGCCCAAAGAUAUGCGAACAACUUGGGUGUCUUGAAGUAUAGGGACCUGAAAACUAAAAUUGUUAAGUUGUUCAAACGGACAGUAUCCCGGCAGGAUGUCUACCGACAACUUCGUUCGCGCACGUUAAGAGCAAACGAGUCCUGCAUAAGCUACCUCAUCACCAUGCAGUCAAUUGCAACACAAACGGAUAUUGACGAGAGGGAGCUGAUAGAUUUCAUAAUAGAUGGUAUACCAGAUGCCACCAAUGCUAUCGCUUGCCUCUAUGGAGCGGAAACAAUAGAUGACCUAGUGAAGCGGUUGGAUAGGUACGAACACCGACGUCAGGAAGUACGUAUGAAUGCUGUGAAAUCGGCAAAAACAGUUGCAGAAAAUAAAGCGAAAGCCGGUGAAACGGUUGAUGCCACAAAGAAGCCCAUCGCAGAAACCAGAUGCUUCAACUGCUCCAAAUAUGGACAUUUCCAGAGCCAGUGUCCAAAGCCGAAAGGGCCCCCGAAUUCAUGUUUUAUUUGCGCAGAGACCGGUCACUAUCACCAAAGCUGCCCUAAGAAGAAUAGUGUCGCUGCCGUAUUAGUUGAGGACAAGGAAGAUGAUAGAGUAGAUACAUAUCAGAUGGUAAGUGUUGCCUUCAUUGAUAAGUUUAAGCGCACUGAAGUGAUGAAGUUUUUUUUUUAUUUGAUACGGGUAGCUCUAUUAGCUGUGUGCGCCAAUCUUUGGUACCUUUUGUAAUUAGAAGUAAGAAGAAGUUAUCGACAUAUCGCGGCAUCGGAAAUCAUAGAAUAAGCACAUGAAGAAUCUGUGGUGCCACUGCUAGUAGGACGCGACCUUUUAAUGAAAUUGAAUAUUAAUUUGUGUAUUAUAAAAAAAAAUAAUUUUAAGAAAAUAGAGCUUUUAGAAAUGAAUUUACAAAAUAAAAAGCCAGACGAAAAAACUAUCAGUGCGCUUAUGACUUUUAAUUUGUUCAGAGUACCUAAUGGGUUAGAGAGAACCCCAGCCAGUAGGGCUAGUUAUGACUUAUUUAGAUAUUUACCUUUUAAUUUGGAAUAUAAUAAUGAUUGUAUAAGAAAACAUAUAACUAAUAACAAAGAUACCGAAGAGGUGAUAGGGCAUUUG